UACGUAGGGUGCGAGCGUUGUCCGGAAUUAUUGGGCGUAAAGAGCUUGUAGGUGGCUCGUCGCGUCGGGAGUGAAAACCCGCGGCUUAACCGCGGGCCUGCUUUCGAUACGGGCGGGCUAGAGUUCGGCAGGGGAGACUGGAAUUCCUGGUGUAGCGGUGGAAUGCGCAGAUAUCAGGAGGAACACCAAUGGCGAAGGCAGCUCGCUGGGACGGUACUGACGCUGAGACGCGAAAGCGUGGGGAGCAAACAGG
rnacentral:rRNA from 1 species